UACGGGGGGGGUAAGCGUUGUUCGGAAUUACUGGGCGUAAAGGGCUCGUAGGCGGCCAACUAAGUCGGACGUGAAAUCCCUCAGCUUAACUGGGGAACUGCGUCCGAUACUGGAUGGCUUGGAUUUGGGAGAGGGAUGCGGAAUUCCAGGUGUAGCGGUGAAAUGCGUAGAUAUCAGGAGGAACACCGAUGGCGAAGGCAGCUCGCUGGGACGGUACUGACGCUGAGGCGCGAAAGCGUGGGGAGCAAACAGG
rnacentral:rRNA from 1 species